rnacentral:rRNA from 1 species
UAAUACGGAGGGUGCGAGCGUUAAUCGGAAUUACUGGGCGUAAAGGGUGCGUAGGUGGUACGUUAAGUUAGCUGUGAAAUACCUGGGCUUAACCUGGGCAGGUCAGCUAAGACUGGCGGACUCGAGUAUGGGAGAGGGUAGUGGAAUUUCCGGUGUAGCGGUGAAAUGCGUAGAGAUCGGAAGGAACACCAGUGGCGAAGGCGGCUACCUGGCCUAAUACUGACACUGAGGCACGAAAGCGUGGGGAGCAAACAGGAUUAGAUACCCUGGUAGUCCACGCUGUAAACGAUGUCAACUAGCUGUUGGCCUUAUGAAAGAGGUUAGUGGCGCAGCAAACGCGAUAAGUUGACCGCCUGGGGAGUACGGUCGCAAGAUUA